GACGAACGCUGGCGGCGUGCUUAACACAUGCAAGUCGAACGGAAAGGCCUGCUUUCCCUUGUGGAUUGCGGGUACUCGAGUGGCGAACGGGUGAGUAACACGUGAGUGAUCUGCCCCCAACUUGGGUAUAAGCCUGGGAAACUGGGUCUAAUUCCCGAUAGGACUGCAGGGUGGUGCCUGUGGUGGAAAACGAUUUUCUAGUGGUUGGGGAUGAGCUCGCGGCCUAUCAGCUUGUUGGUGGGGUAAUGGCCUACCAAGGCGGCGACGGGUAGCCGGCCUGAGAGGGUGGACUGCCACAUUGGGACUGAGAUACGGCCCAGACUCCUACGGGAGGCAGCCGUGGGGAAUAUUGCACAAUGGGCGGAAGCCUGAUGCAGCGACGCCGCGUGGGGGAUGACGGCCUUCGGGUUGUAAACUCCUUUCGACCGCGAGGAAGCCACCUGGUUGGAAGGGUGGUGACGGUAGUGGUAGAAGAAGCACCGGCUAACUACGUG
rnacentral:rRNA from 1 species